ACUAAGAUGGCAGAUUAGUGCAAUAGAUUUAAGCUCUAUAUAUAAAUUAGUAUUUUCUUAGUA
rnacentral:tRNA from 1 species